UGAAGAAUAUUGGGCAAUGGGCGAAAGCCUGACCCAGCAAUGCCGCGUGCAGGACGAAGUCCUUCGGGAUGUAACUGCUGUCAGGGGUCCGCAAGCGAAGGGGUCCAACAGGCCCUGGAGUUGAGCAGCCCCAGAGGAAGCCUCGACUAACUCUGUGCCAGCCGUCGCGGUAAGACAGAGGAGGCAAGCGUUGUUCGGAAUCACUGGGCUUAAAGCGCGUGUAGGCGGCUUAGAAAGUGUCGUGUGAAAUCCCGCGGCUCGACCGCGGAACUGCACGGCAAACUACUUGGCUUGAGGGCGGUAGAGGUGCCUGGAACUCUAGGUGGAGCGGUGAAAUGCGUAGAGAUCUAGAGGAACGCCAGAAGCGAAAGCGGGGCACUGGGCCGAUUCUGACGCUGAGACGCGAAAGCGUGGGGAGCAAACA
rnacentral:rRNA from 1 species